rnacentral:rRNA from 1 species
GGGUGUGAUCAUACCAGUGUUAAUGCACAGGAUCCCAUCGGAACUCCGUAGUUAAGCGAGCUUGGGCUAGAGUAGUACUAGCAUGGGUGACCUUCCGGGAAGUCUAGUGUUGCACUGU